UGGGGAAUAUUGGACAAUGGGCGAAAGCCUGAUCCAGCCAUGCCGCGUGUGUGAAGAAGGCCUUUUGGUUGUAAAGCACUUUAAGCGAGGAGGAGGCUACUUGGAUUAAUACUCUAGGAUAGUGGACGUUACUCGCAGAAUAAGCACCGGCUAACUCUGUGACAGCAGCCGCGGUAAUACAGAGGGUGCGAGCGUUAAUCGGAUUUACUGGGCGUAAAGCGUGCGUAGGCGGCUUCUUAAGUCGGAUGUGAAAUCCCUGAGCUUAACUUAGGAAUUGCAUUCGAUACUGGGAAGCUAGAGUAUGGGAGAGGAUGGUAGAAUUCCAGGUGUAGCGGUGAAAUGCGUAGAGAUCUGGAGGAAUACCGAUGGCGAAGGAAGCCAUCUGGCCUAAUACUGACGCUGAGGUACGAAAGCAUGGGGAGCAAACAGG
rnacentral:rRNA from 1 species